CUCACUGUUCCCUUCUCUGUUCUUUUGCAUCUUUCAGACCAGGAUGAAAGAGCAGCAGAACUCAGCAGGGAGCAGAAUGAG
rnacentral:pre_miRNA from 1 species